UCCCUAUGAAGCCUGAAGACAGCCGUGAAACUCCUCCCUUUUCCAGCCUAAGUUGUUGUCCAAGUAAAAAGUUAAAUGAAUGUGAAGUUUGGUGAGAAUCUAUGGAAGUUUUGGUAGUGAUUUGGUGAAUUUUGGAAGAGGAAAUGUUGAAGUCUUUGGUUGUUUCCUCUGCAGCAGCUGGCCGACCAUGAAGCUAGAAGGAAAGGAAAUGCGGUUUCUG
rnacentral:lncRNA from 1 species